AGACAGCAGCCGCCACGGUAAUACAGAGGGUGCGAGCGUUAAUCGGAUUUACUGGGCGUAAAGCGUGCGUAGGCGGCUAAUUGAGUCGGAUGUGAAAUCCCCGAGCUUAACUUGGGAAUUGCAUUCGAUACUGGUUAGCUAGAGUGUGGGAGAGGAUGGUAGAAUUCCAGGUGUAGCGGUGAAAUGCGUAGAGAUCUGGAGGAAUACCGAUGGCGAAGGCAGCCAUCUGGCCUAACACUGACGCUGAGGUACGAAAGCAUGGGGAGCAAACAGGAUUAGAUACCCCCGUAGUCCCUGUCUCUUAUAC
rnacentral:rRNA from 1 species